rnacentral:tRNA from 5 species
GGGCGAUUGGCUCAGUGGUAGAGCGCUACCUUGACACGGUAGAGGUCACUGGUUCGAACCCAGUAUCGCCCACCA